rnacentral:rRNA from 2 species
CAGCGGAGGGAUCAUUACUG